UACGUAGGGUGCAGGCGUUUAAUCGGAAUUACUGGGCGUAAAGCGUGCGCAGGCGGUUUGCUAAGACAGGUGUGAAAUCCCCGGGCUUAACCUGGGAACUGCGCUUGUAACUGGCAAGCUGGAGUGUGGCAGAGGGGGGGUGGAAUUCCACGUGUAGCAGUGAAAUGCGUAGAGAUGUGGAGGAACACCGAUGGCGAAGGCAGCCCCCCUGGGCUAACACUGACGCUCAUGCACGAAAGCGUGGGGAGCAAACAGG
rnacentral:rRNA from 1 species